GAGUUUCCAGUGCACAUACACACAUGGGAGGAGAUUAAAACAACAACAACAACAACACAAAUCAAUCAACGAUUUCUCAGCAAAAGCAUCCGAUUGGCUGUGUUGGGAAUCACUCCUGAUCUACCCCAUCCGUAUCCAAUGAGUGGACAAUUUGAUCGUGCUUCCCACAAUGCAUCUUGAAAAUGAGGAAACAAUGACGCUGACUCGAAAAGCUUUUUUUUUUGGACUGAGAAUAAAAACAGUGACAAUCUGCGAGUAACUGAUCCCCACCCAGAAAGGUCGAAUGGCUUGUCGAUGUCACAGGAGGGCGGCAAAGCACUACUUUUCAGUUCGAUAAGAGUGCCUGACUAAAUGAAGCGCCUCACCUCACUUCAACAUGAAAAUGGUGCCAAAGCAAUAGUUAUUUUUUCCCCUCGUCGUUUUUGUUCAAAAUUCUGCGGUAUUAUUGAAGGUCCGCGCAAUUUCAAUGCAACACCUGAGUCGUGUUCCAAAACUUUUUUUUUUUUUGCCUAAACCAAAUAUCGAGUCCACUGAUUCUAAACACAGCCACUGCCUCACCAGAGACAAAAA